CCGACCUUAGCUCAGUUGGUAGAGCGGAGGACUGUAGUGCUCACAGACAUCCUUAGGUCGCUGGUUCGAUUCCGGCAGGUCGGA
rfam:Selaginella moellendorffii unplaced genomic scaffold SELMOscaffold_79, whole genome shotgun sequence.